CCUACGGGUGGCUGCAGUCGAGGAUCUUCGGCAAUGGGCGCAAGCCUGACCGAGCGACGCCGCGUGGGCGACGAAGGCCUUCGGGUUGUAAAGCCCUGUCGGGGGGGAGGAAAGCCGAAAGGUCUGACCUAUCCCCGGAGGAAGCACGGGCUAAGUUCGUGCCAGCAGCCGCGGUAAGACGAACCGUGCGAACGUUGUUCGGAAUCACUGGGCUUAAAGGGCGCGUAGGCGGACCACCAAGUCCGGGGUGAAAUCCUCCGGCUCAACCGGAGAAC
rnacentral:rRNA from 1 species